UCGAAUGGUAAAACUCUUAUGAUCCUCAUCUUCUACAUAUUCAAAACCUAAUAGCUUCAUCUAAUAAUUCAUCAUUUCUUUUAUGUAUCUUACUAUUUUAUGUGUGCGUUAGGAUUUAUCAUCCGGUUGGAUUAGAUGUCACAAUAUAUUAGUUUUGAUUUUAUUGUUUGAUUAUAUUGUUUGAUUAUAUUGUUUGAAAGUGUUAUAGGAUUGAAGAUUGAAGAACUCGCUUAUGACAUCGGGUUACGAUUAACUUUGCUGCCAAGAAAGAUAUUCAAUGUCUGCUGGUAAACUAUGUUAUCUGCUGAUGUUUUGAAAUGGAUGCUCAAAACGUGAUCAUGUUGAAUGCUCUUGAUGUCAUGUCAAACAAUUAUACCAUUAGGGUGUGAAGAUCGUUUGCCUAUGGAAGAAGACAAACGGUAGUAAGACUGAUGUUUACCGUUUGGACAUGAUGUUAAUGGAUGAAGUGACUUUAUUGGCUAUGUGGAUGUUUUGUUUCAAGCUAUAAGAUACUAACAAAAAGGAUGGAACUAAAGAGAAAAGAUUUAAUCAUUUGCGUGCAAUAUAGAAAACCAAAAGAUGCAUUGGGACAUUUAAAAGAAAAUGAGUUUUGAUGGAUGAACGCUAUAUACAUGUUAAUUCAUCAAUCUCUUUGUAUGAUUUUUAAUUAUAUAUUAAAAUACUAUGUUCAUAUU
rnacentral:lncRNA from 1 species